UACGUAGGGUGCAAGCGUUAUCCGGAAUUAUUGGGCGUAAAGAGCUCGUAGGCGGUUUGUCGCGUCUGCUGUGAAAACUGGAGGCUCAACCUCCAGCCUGCAGUGGGUACGGGCAGACUAGAGUGCGGUAGGGGAGAUUGGAAUUCCUGGUGUAGCGGUGGAAUGCGCAGGAUAUCAGGAGGAACACCGAUGGCGAAGGCAGAUCUCUGGGCCGUAACUGACGCUGAGGAGCGAAAGCAUGGGGAGCGAACAGG
rnacentral:rRNA from 1 species